UACGUAGGGUGCAAGCGUUGUCCGGAAUUAUUGGGCGUAAAGAGCUCGUAGGCGGUCUGUCGCGUCUGCUGUGAAAACCUAGGGCUUAACUCUGGGCGUGCAGUGGGUACGGGCAGGCUAGAGUGCGGUAGGGGAGACUGGAAUUCCUGGUGUAGCGGUGAAAUGCGCAGAUAUCAGGAGGAACACCGGUGGCGAAGGCGGGUCUCUGGGCCGAAACUGACGCUGAGGAGCGAAAGCGUGGGGAGCAAACAGG
rnacentral:rRNA from 1 species